rnacentral:rRNA from 1 species
UGCCGGCGAGCGGCGGACGGGUGAGUAAUGCUGGGAAAUUGCCCAGUCGAGGGGGAUAACAGUUGGAAACGACUGCUAAUACCGCAUGCGCCCUACGGGGGAAAGCAGGGGACCUUCGGGCCUUGCGCGAUUGGAUAUGCCCAGGUGGGAUUAGCUAGUUGGUAGGGUAACGGGCUACCAAGGCGACGAUCCGUAGCUGGUCUGAGAGGACGAACAGCCACACUUGGGACUUGAGACACGGGCCCAGGAUCCUACGGGAGGCAAGCAGUGGGGAAUAUUGGACAAUGGGGGCAACCUGGAUCCAGCGACGCCGCGGUGUGUCGAACGAAGGCCUGCGGGUUGUAAAGCCACCUUUCACUUGGGGGACCGAAGGGCUGCGACCUACACACNUCAUGGACAUUCGACCUCUUCACCCCAACGACGAAAAAACGCACCAGGCUAAAACCCUCCUGGGGCCCANCNCAAAGGNCCGCAGGGUAACUACCACAGAANGGGUUGACCAAGCCCUCANAAACCGGNCAAUCGCCACUCUGGGGCCCGUUNACCCACCCANCAGGACGCNUCAGGGCCAGCGACCAACGCNGACCAAAGCANCCGAGG